GCGGGCGUGGUGUAUGGUGCACAGCUGUCUUCACUUGCGUCUCUUGAAAAAUUACUGUAGGCAGCAGACCCGGGUUCGACUCCCGGCGCCCGCG